rnacentral:rRNA from 1 species
UACGAAGGGGGCGAGCGUUGUUCGGAAUCACUGGGCGUAAAGGGCGCGUAGGCGGCCCUCCUAGUCGCGUGUGAAAGCCCGGGCUCAACCUGGGAACGGCGCGCGAAACGGGGGGGCUGGAGUUCGGGAGAGGAGCGUGGAACUUCCCAGUGUAGAGGUGAAAUUCGUAGAUAUUGGGAAGAACACCGGUGGCGAAGGCGGCGCUCGUGGGACCGAG